UCCGAGUUGACCCCGGCAGUCUCCUACGAGUCCCCGGCAUUACCCGCUGGCAACAUAGGACAAGGGUUGCGCUCGUUGCGGGACUUAACCCAACAUCUCACGACACGAGCUGACGACAACCAUGCACCACCUGUGUAGGGCCCCGAAGGACACCGUAUCUCUACGGCUUUUCCCUACAUGUCAAGCCCAGGUAAGGUUCUUCGCGUCGCCUCGAAUUAAGGCACAUGCUCCGCCGCUUGUGCGGGCCCCCGUCAAUUCCUUUGAGUUUUAGCCUUGCGGCCGUACUCCCCAGGCGGGGCACUUAAUGCGUUAGCUACGGCACGGAAUCCGUUGGUUAGAUCCCACACCUAGUGCCCAACGUUUACGGCGUGGACUAC
rnacentral:misc_RNA from 1 species